rnacentral:rRNA from 1 species
AGAAUCAACGCUGGCGGCGUGCCUAACACAUGCAAGUCGAACGAGAAAGUGGAGCAAUCCAUGAGUAAAGUGGCGACCGGGUGAGUAACACGUGACUAACCUACCUUCAAGUGGGGGAUAACCUCGGGAAACCGAGGCUAAUACCGCAUAAUAUCGCAAGAUCAAAGCAGCAAUGCGCUGGAAGAGGGGGUCGCGGCUGAUUAGCUAGUUGGCGGGUAACGCCCACAAGGCGAAGAUCGGUA